GAUGAAAUCAUUUGUCUGAUCAAGGUUGUCCACAAGCAAAGCACAUAGACAGUAUGAGCUGUCUAUUCAUCAGGGGAAGCUGAUACGUCACUGGGGCCCCUCCAAUCCAUGAGAAAAAAGAAGAAAGAUGCUUCAAGCAAUUAACAGAAGAGAAAAUAGCCAGAAGUGCCCAAUGGCAAAUUGGAGGGUGACAUAUGUCAGUUAAAGAGAGCGUCCCGGUGUCUUAGGUCUGGGUGACGAGGGGAGAAACUGAUAAGAGGGGGCUGGGCGCUUGGCUCUCUCUCUGGCCCACCUUCCAGCCAUGGCAGCAGCACACCUCUGAGACUGCGACUAAGUUGUAUUUCCUUGAUUAUCUGUUCUUUUCGCGGCUUUAUUUCUGUUUGUUUAGUUAGGGAUUGGUUUAGGGUAGAGGGGAAGCCUCCAGAUCCUACGGCCCUUUGUAGGCUGGUCUGGAGGGCUUCCCUUUCUUUUGUUUGUUUUGGCCAGCCCAUCAGAUUUUGUUUAAGUUAAAUUUUGAACUUAUUUCAUGUUUAUUUCAAUAAACUUAUGUUUGUAUUACUCCUGGACUCUUCGGUUAUGUUCAACCCCCUCUUAUAACGAGCUGUGGU